UCGACCUUAGCUCAGUUGGUAGAGCGGAGGACUGUAGUUAAAGCAGAGAAUCCCUAGGUCACUGGUUCGAAUCCGGUAGGGCGGA
rfam:Eutrema salsugineum unplaced genomic scaffold scaffold_8, whole genome shotgun sequence.